CGCCUGUUUAACAAAAACAUUGUUUAUGGCUUAAAUUUCUUAAAUACCGUCUGCUCAAUGAAAUUUAAAUAGCUGCAGUAAAUUAACUGUACUAAGGUAGCAUAAUAAAUUGUUUUUUAAUUAAAAACUAGAAUGAAAGAUUUAAUGAAAAAUUCACUUUUAUAACAGAUAACAAGUAAAAUUUAAUAUUUCAGUCAAAAAUCUUAAAUAAGCCAUUGAAAGACAAAAAGACCCUUUAGAGUUUGACACUCCACCCCCACCCUCUGGGGGGCGAAUGUUAAAUUGGGGAGAUUGCAAAACUAAUAUCUUUUGUUAAAAGCCGCACCACGUCAGUGCUAACAGAAAUAAUCCAACCAAUUGAAAAAAAAUCAAUCUACCUAAGGGAUAACAGCGUUAAACUUCUUUAAAGAUCAAAUUUACAGAAACUAUUACGACCUCGAUGUUGGAUUAAGUUAAUAACUAGGAGCAGAAUCCGAGUAACUGGUCUGUCGACCACUCCACAUGAUCUGAGUUCAAACCGG
rnacentral:rRNA from 1 species